rnacentral:rRNA from 1 species
UAGGGAAUUGUUCGCAAUGGGCGCAAGCCUGACGACGCAACGCCGCGUGGAGGAUGAAGGGCUUCGGCUCGUAAACUCCUUUCGACCGAGAUGAAUACCCGCAGGGCUAACAUCCCUGCGGACUGACAGUAUCCAGGGCAGAAGCCCCGGCUAACUCCGUGCCCGCAGCCGCGGUAAUACGGGGGGGGCAAGCGUUGUUCGGAAUUACUGGGCGUAAAGGGUUCGUAGGUGGUCAACUAAGUCAUACGUGAAAUCCCUCAGCUUAACUGGGGAACUGCGUCUGAUACUGGUUGACUUGAGUGCAGGAGAGGAACGCGGAAUUCCAGGUGUAGCGGUGAAAUGCGUAGAUAUCUGGAGGAAUACCGGUGGCGAAGGCGGCAUCCUGGACCGACAUUGACGCUGAGGAGCGAAAGCUAGGGGAGCAAA